rnacentral:rRNA from 1 species
UACAGAGGUCUCAAGCGUUGUUCGGAUUCAUUGGGCGUAAAGGGCGCGUAGGCUGCGGGGCAAGUCGGGUGUGAAAUCUCAGAGCUCAACUCUGAAACUGCACUCGAUACUGCUUUGCUCGAGGACUGGAGAGGAGAUUGGAAUUCACGGUGUAGCAGUGAAAUGCGUAGAUAUCGUGAGGAAGACCAGUGGCGAAGGCAGCUCGCUGGGACGGUACUGACGCUGAGACGCGAAAGCGUGGGGAGCAAACAGG